rnacentral:lncRNA from 1 species
GGUGAUACGUAUCUACGGUAAACGCCCCGCAGACAGCUGCCUCCGUCCCAGUGCCGGGUCCUGCCUGGUUCUGAUCCUCUGGAUUUCCUGGGAUAAACAUCCUGAGGAAGAAAAGAAUGGCUCAACAAAGAAAGGAGAAAUGGGUGUUCGGCUCGCCCAGCCUCAGCCAAGGGGCAGAAAACCUCCAAGCUGGAUAGGCUGUCAUGCCCGAUGCCAAGAAACGGAUAUUUGAAGAAUAGAGUACUAAGCUCAGAGCCAGAACCCCCCAGAUCCCCCUACACACAUGUGCAUACACAGACACACACACACAGGCACAUGCACACACAGAUAUACAUACAAACACACACAUAGACACAUGAACACAUGAACAAAUGCAGAUAUGAACACACAGACAUGCACACAUUUGAACAUGCACAGACCACACACAUGAACAGACAUACAUACACAGAAACAUGCACACACAGACACACAGACACUCGUACACAGAUACACAGACAAAUGCACACAUGGACACACAAACACAGACACAUAGAUGCACACAGAUAUAGAGACACAUGCACACAUGAACAAACAGAGAUGAACACAGAGAUAUGCACACAUGUGAACACACACACAGACAUACAUAGACACAUACACAAAUACACACAGGCACAGACAGACACAUGCACACGCAUGAACACACACAGAGACAAUGCACACAGACACAGGCACAUGCACACACAGAUACAUGCACACACGGGCACACAGACAUGCACACAGAAACACGUGGACACAUGCACAUGCAUGCGUGCUGACAACACAGACAUGCACAUAUGCAGAUACACAGGCACACAGAGGCAAAUGCAUGCACACUCAUGCACACACACGGACA